rnacentral:rRNA from 1 species
GACGAACGCUGGCGGCGUGCUUAACACAUGCAAGUCGAACGGGCUCUGUCUGGCUGUGUGCUGGGUGGGGUUAGUGGCGAACGGGUGAGUAAUACGUGAGUAACCUGCCCUCUUCUUUGGGAUAAGCCUUGGAAACGGGGUCUAAUACUGGAUAUUCCUGUCUGGUCGCAUGGCUGGGUGGGGAAAGUUUUUUUCGGUGGGGGAUGGGCUCGCGGCCUAUCAGCUUGUUGGUGGGGUGAUGGCCUACCAAGGCGUCGACGUGUAGCCGGCCUGAGAGGGUGACCGGCGACACUGGGACUGAGAUACGGCCCAGACUCCUACGGGCGGCAGCGGUGGGGGAUAUUGCACAAUGGGCGCAAGCCUGAUGCAGCGACGCCGCGUGGGGGAUGACGGCUUUCGGGUUGUAAUCCUCUUUCGUCGGGGGACAAGGCUCUGCUUGGUGGUGGGGUUGAGGGUACCCGGUGAAGAAGCGCCGGCUAACUACGUG